CACGCCCCCUUCCGGUGGCCGUCCUGCUGGGGAGCUGAGGCGGGGAGUCGAGGCGGGGCUGGCUCGGCCCCAAGGGCUGGGAGCCGUCUCGCCCCUCCGCGGUUGCCUCUGGAAAGAGCCAGAUUUGUUUGUUUGUUUGCCCGUAGCCUUUCCUCCGCUCAACUCCUUGCUCGGCCAGAAAUAGAGCUACUUCAAGCCCACUGCAGAACAAACAAAAUCUACAUUCAGAACGGGACCUUUACAAGUUCAAUGGAGUUAUUUGGGGUAUGGGGCUGAGGCUGCCCUCCAACAUGUGAUCCUCCGUUCUGAGCCUCAUGUCACUUAAAUUGUUUUACUCUCUACAUGGAAGUGGUUAAGCUAAUGGAUACCUGCCUUCUUUACCCCAGUACAGAGAGCCGAUGUCUGUGACCUCAGGGAUAUGUGGUGAAGAUGAAGAUUUGGGGCAUUCUGGAAUAUUCUGAUUUUAAAUAGGGAAGGUAUUAUAGCACUUUGCUUUCACAUACCUAGGCCAUUAAAGACUAGACAAACACCAAGGAAGUCUGAAUUAGUGACUGCAAACAUGAGGGAGACCAGGCAUUGAUGUUCCAGACGCUGCUUCAGAAGAGUAAGGCAAAACACUGUAAGAAAACACUGUGGAAAAGAAACUGCAUCUUCAGAGCCAGCAGCGCUCCAGAGGAGAAAGCGACACCUCCUGAGUGUCAGUGUACAAAGGCAAGAGAACUCUUCUCUCAAGACCAUUUGGAUUCAGAAGCUGGACAGACAGAAGCUCACACACUUUCAUCCCCUUGCUGCCUUUGACUCUGAAAAUCCUUUCAUUGGCUACCCUGUAAAAUCAGCCAUGAAGGCCCUUAGCCAAACAGGAACACUAUCCAUGGAAAGGCACAGUCCAUUAACUUCUUAACAUUCAUAUGAAUAAGCUUAUGAACUUCUCCAGGCAUUUCACUGAGGCCCUGGAGGAACAAAAUGUUAAUUAAAAUUUAAGGGAAGAGAAAAAGAUUUGGUACUUGGCAUCCCUCCUAAUGCGGUGGUUUUUAGAAGAACAACCUGAGAAACAGACAGAAAUGCGGAAUGGCACCACAUUUCUGAGAAUGGCCUUUUGCUGGUCAGACUUCCCCUGCCUUGCUCACCCCUCUCCUCCGUGUAAAUCAACAUUGCCCACCCCGGCUGCAUGGGUUGAGAAGCCUUCAUAGUCUUUCUACUGGAAAAGCAGUAGCUGCAGAGCGAGGUAUGAGCGUGGAGUCAGCAGAGCCUUCCAGUCCUGGGUACAGGGAAGAAACUGAGAGCGAGUCUUAGCACUCUCUCAAGAACCCUUCCAAAGGGAUUGUUCUCCUGGCUUACAGAACUGCCAAAACCUAAGGAGAGCUAGAGAACUACCCUAAAGACACUUCCUGGGAAAAUUUACUCCAGCUCUUAGGCCAUUGAGAAGAAGUCAGACUAUAGAAGAGUAGAUUCCAUUUACGUGUGUGCAUGGGAUGGAACUACUGAAAAGAAAUCUUCUGCAGGAUUUCAUCACUGGGGUAUGACACUUGGCACUGUUUGAACGGGAGGUCGCAACAACAGACUUGAUGAGGAGUAAGCACAUCAGCCACAAAAACUAGAGAAAAUGUGCAAACUUCAUUUUGCUAAGUGGAAACAUGACUCAUCGUUCUUGUUGCAACUCCCAAGCCCUGAAGCUCUUCUUUAAAGUGCGGAGACAAAGGCAACAUCUUCAAUUCCAGCUGGCUUACCUGGAGAACUCUGACAGUGCUCAGCCACUGAUUUCUUUAUGCAUUGCAAAACUAAGUGCUCUGAGUGUCUUACCUUCCCUCACCCUGGGGAAACAGAUGCCAAAAUACUGGAAAGAGAACAAGACUGGUAGGCUUUGAGUAUAGCUUAUCAGUUUUCCUUAGCCUCUCAUUAUCUCCAGGAUGCUAUUGAACACUAGCUUUGGGAGUAUUUUAUUUUAUUUUCAAGGUUUGAGAUCUUCUUUCCUCCAGACUCCUCUGCCUUUGAGUACAAAGUGUAAGUGAUCUGCGGUCUUUCUUAAAACCUAGUCUCAUUUAAAAUCUGACUUUUGCCGAGUAAAAAUUACCAUUCCAACCCUUAGAUUUGAAAAGUUUUACAGUAGAUAUAAGAAGUCUUGAAAUCCAAGAGUAAAUUCUGUGGUCUUUCAAGCAAUAGUCAAAACUGCACUUGAAAAUUCAAAAGAAUAAAUAAAAUCCAUGACUGUGUUACUUUUCUAGAAACAUUUUAUCCCAAGAGAAACUAUUUUUUGUUUUGGAAGAUGACAAGAGUAGAAGUUAAACAAUUAUUUUUUUAAGUUACUUUAAAGGAAGGAAAAAAGGAAGGAAAGAAGGAAGGAAGGAAAGGCCAGUAGAGGCAGCUAACUGCUCCACUGGAGAAGUUAUUUCAGCAAAUGUUCAUUGUCCCAGGGAGAAACGUACCCCUACUUUGCAGCUUAGCAUUUGCACAUUUAGAAGCUUAAAUAUUUUUCACUUGAAAUGAACCAAAUGGUAUAAAUUAGAUAUGAACACAUGCAGUUACAUUUUACGAUUAAGCACAAAGAAAGGAUGCUGAUGACUGCUGCUCAGAUUUCAUAUCAUGACAAGGUAACAUUAAUUUAUAGCCUAUUUGAAAUUUCCAGCUUCCAUGGUCUUUUUAUUUUUAAGUCACUUAUUGUGAUAACCCCAGAGAAGUAUAAAAGUCAGCAAUUUAAUAAUAUUAGUAACUUUUAUGGGAUACUUGACAGUUAUCUUUGAUGUAAUUACCUGUUUGUGUUAGGGUUGCUAUUGCUGUGAUGAAACAUCCUGACCAAAAGAAACCUGGGGAGAAAAAUGUUUAUUUGGCUUCCCCUUUCACAGUAUUGUUUUAUGAAAGAAUGUCAGGACAGGAGCUCAAACUCCAGGCAGGAAACUGAAGGUAGGAUCUGAUGCAGAGGCCAUGGAGGAGAGCUGCUUACUGGCUUGCUCCUCAUGAUUUAUUUAAUGAGCUUUCUUAUAGAACCCAGUAUCACCCACCCAAGGAUGGCUCCACCCACAAUGGAAUGGGCCCUCCCCCAUUAAGCACUAAUUAGGAUUUUUUUCUAACCAGAUCUUAUGGAGGCAUUUUCUCAGUUAAGGUUUCUCCUUUCAGAUGACUAUAUCUUAGGUCAAGUUGACAUGAAGUUAGGCAGCAUUGAUCAUUUUACACGUAGAAACCAAAGCUCAGAACAGUAACUUGCCAGCUCACACUGGCUUGAAGUUAUAGCAUUGGCAACUGAAUAAAGGCAGUCUUACUCGAGGAUAAGGGUCAAUAAAACUUUCCUAUAAAGCCCCAGGCAUGAGGCUGCUGAUGCAGCUAACUACUCAGCUUUUGCUGUGAGAAAGACAGCCAGCAGAUAUGUCACUGAAGGAACAUGGCUAUAUUUUGAUAAAACCUUAUUUUAGACACUGAAAUUUAAAUUUUAUAUAAUCCCCAUGUGUCACACAUAUUAGCUGUUUCACAUUUAUUUAUAAUCUGGAGUUGUUCACAGCAUUUCAAUGUGUUCUUUGCAUCCUUUCCUAACUUAAAAAUGCAAAUAUAAUUGCUAAAUUAUAUGAUGGGCUGUACAAAAUUGGGUGGUAGGAUGUCCUGGACUCAUAGACUGCUUAAAUUCAGGACUGAUAGAAAGACUAAAAGAAAAGUCUGAAGAAAGAAAGAAAUGAAAUGAAAUGGCAGGAUGAGGAGGGCACUGUGAUGAGGAGGGUGCUGUGAUGAGGAGGGCACUGUGAUGAGGAGGGUGCUGUGAUGAGGAGGGCACUGUGGUGAGGAGGGCGCUGUGAUGAGGAGGGUGCUGUGAUGAGGAGGGCGCUGUGAUGAGGAGGGCGCUGUGAUGAGGAGGGCGCUGUGAUGAGGAGGGUGCUGUGAUGAGGGCGCUGUGAUGAGGAGGGCGCUGUGAUGAGGAGGGUGCUGUGAUGAGGAGGGUGCUGUGAUGAGGAGGGUGCUGUGAUGAGGAGGGUGCUGUGAUGAGGAGGGUGCUGUGUUCGCUCGGAUGCAGCAGUGCCUCGUGUUGGUUCUUUCCUCUCGCUGGUACCUCUCUGUGAGGUCAGUGCUGGAAGACGGGCUAAAGCAUAGCCUAGUUCUCCAUGCCAGGCAUGAGACAGAGAAACAGCCAUGAAGCAAAAAUGCUAGUUUUAACACCCUGUUCUCAGUUAUGUUUUUAAUGUUAUUUUGUACUUUCUUCCUUCCUCUGAUGCUUAUGUUUUAGUGUGUGGAGAAAUUAUGAACUUUUCUACUAAUAUGUUAAAAUUUGUGUGUGGGGGGGGGAGAACUGAUUCUCUAAAAAAUCUUUUUUUAAUGAAAAUUUCUUUUUUUUUUUUAAAGAUUUAUUUGUUAUAUACACAGCAUCCUGCCUUCAUGCCAGAAGAGGACACCAGAUCGCACUAUAGAUGGUUGUGAGCCAUCUUGUGGUUGCUGGGAAUUGAACUUAGGACCUUUGGAAGAACAGCCAUUGCUCUUAACCUCUGAGCCAGAUCUCCAGGCCCUCUAAAAAAAAAAAUCUUAAACUUGAAUUUCCAACAUGAGUAUUUUCUGAAAAAUGAGAAAUGUUCACAAAGGAUCUGUCCCGUGACUCAGUGAUUAUUAAAGGAAGACUGCACGCUGGCAUCUGGGAACACAGUGGUUAAACAGAUGAUUAUUGUUCUGCCCCGAUGAAUCUUUUCCUUAUCCACAAGUAGAAGCAAUGAGGAAAACAAUCCACAAGUCACUCAGACAAAGCAGGGCUUAGUAAUAUGGACAUGACAGGAGCUUGAAGAUAAUGUGACCAUUGUCAUUUUGGUGCCUGUAAUGAGCAGGGAAGGGAAAACUGGACAAUCCAGUCAGAUCAUUAUUGUUAAAUAGACAAGUUCCAGAAAGUUCAAUGAAAAAGGGAGGUGAUUCUAUAGCCAAUAUUUGAAAAGAAGAGAGAGAGAGAGAUGAAGUCCUGUGAAGUUGUAAGAUGUUCUCAAAACAAAAUUCUAACCCCUCCCCUUUCUUAUUGUGGCGCCUGCUGGGCUAGAUUUCUUAUUAUAGACAUUUGCAAUUGGAUGAUUCUUGUGUGUGGGGCCGGCGGGGUAGCAGGCAUUCCCUGUGCUAUAGCUUUCCUGGCCUCCACACACUUGCCAUUGUUACCCUACCUCAGGCUGUGACAAGAGAAAUCCAUCUCAGGCCUGCACAGUCUAAGAAGAACCCAACAGAAAGGAGAGUGAGGAGAUUCCAAGAAAACAAGGAGAAGAAUAAAAGAGCAAUUCAGAAGCGUAUCAUCACUUUAGAUAAGAGUUGAAAUUUCAGCCUAACAAUUUAGGAAAGGAAAGUAGUGGCCAUACUGGCUCGUGAGAACUGGAGAAGGGAAGGGAUGGAUCAUGUGUAAAUCACAGGGCAAUCUGACCUAUUACAAGUUGCAUACAUUUUCUUUAUUUAGGUAAACAAUCUUCUGCUAUAAAGAGCAUUUUAGGGAGGCAGAGAGUAAGAAAGCAUUCCUUACUCUGAGUUUCUAAAGCUGGGUAGGUUUUUAUUAGGAGAUGUGGGGAUUAGGAAUUAAAGGCAUGGGAAUGUCUUCAUGAAGACAUGCGAAGCACCGCUUGAGAAUUGUCUCAUAAGGCAGGUAAUCUGAUCCUCAAAGAGCAUUUUAAUGAAGAAGUGGUGUCGCAAAAAUGAUGAGCUGCUUAGUAAGGAAACUUGAAAAAAGCAGAAUGCCUGUAAUGGAAUCCACCAAAAUCUAUCAGUCGGUAUGAAUGACUCACUACUAUUUAAGCAAUGACAAACCAAAAUACCAUACAGAGAGGAUAAGCCUUUUAUAGCAAUAUUACUUAAUCCCUGUAUAAUUAUGUUGAAAAUGCUACAAUUAUUCUGCUCCUCUCAGACACAGCAGUAUGCUACAUAUGGACAAUUUUCUGCUAAGAUACAGUAUCCACUUGACUUUUGCUCUAUUCCACCAUUCGCACAGAUUCAUUUAUCACCUUGCUCUACGAAUUACAAAAAUAAUGAGUAAGCAAAAGCUUACCAGCACAGCUGUUUUAAGCACUACCACAACGAUAAAGUCACAGGAUGGUUUCAGGGCAAAGAACACUUUUUAAAAGGUGAAGAGGGAGUUGUAAACCAAAAUGGAAUUGUUUAAUCAUGUUCUCACAUAUUGGGAAAUGUACAGUUCCGCCAAUGCUAUAGCAGAGUCAGUCAGCCAAGCGCAGACAGCCAUGGGCCUUGGAUCAGCUUAUGUGGCCUGCUUCAGGUUUACUGCCACCUAAGUCAGAGACAGAGUGGGACAAGUUUCUUAUAGCUGGUGGUACUGUGACAGCUUUGCUUAAUUAAAAAAUGUUUAGGAGUUCAAGAAAGGAGAGCUAAAUUAACAGGCCUGAUGUGGUGUCACAGGUCUUUAAUCCUAGCCCUUGGGAGGUAGACAUAGGCAGAUCUCUGAGAGUUCGAGGCCAACCUAGUCUACAAAUCUAGUCCAGGAGAGCCAAGGCUCUGUUACACAGAGAAACCUUUCCUGGAAAAACCAAUAAGCAAACAAAAAACCAACAAAACAAAACUCCCUAUAUUAAUAGGUAGUCAUUUCAUCAACAUAAUUUCAUUUCAUUUUCUUUUCAUUUUCUUAUGAAAAUCCUGGUUCAUUUGUGGAAAAUUUAGAUAACACUGUCAGGUAAAGGUAAGCUAAAGUAAUUUCUUACUAGCAUUAACAAAGACACAUGCUUACAUUACACAUGUCAUAGUUAUACUUAGAAUGUCUUUAAACCCUGAACAAAUGGAAGCUUACCUAAUUCUUUAUCCCUUUGGUGAUCUUCCUUUUAAAAGAAAUACACUCCGAAGAAAAUCUAGCCACAUGAAAAAGAGAAGAAAAUAUGACAUAGAAAACAACAGUAAGAGCAUUUGACUAGGUUCCUCUUCAGUGUCUGUUCUCAAAGCACAGCCUGUGUGAACUGUGACUCCUAACUGCAGAUUCCUGGGAGUAAGGAGUCCAGUGUGAAUUUGACCUAAGCUGGACUGUCACCCACAGUGAGUGCUUAGAGCCUGGGAGGUACUAACUUAGAAUGUUUUCUUGCUUCCUAAGGAUAAAGGUGGGACUUGGAGUUUCUUUGUAAUUAGUAAGCACCUACUAAUGGAAUCUGACUUUGGCUUAAUUGUGAACCAAAGCCAUCAAGAAAAUGUCAAAAUGCUUGUUACCCUGGCAGUAAGGCCACCAAGGCAGCAUGAUGGAGACCCUGAAGCCAGUCUGGCCUACAGUAUCUUCUCAAAAUGAUAACAACCAACCAGCAAGAGAAAAGCACACAGAGAGCUGGCCAGUGUUGCUCACUAUAGAAUGCUUGCCUACUUGCCUAGCCCCCAUAGCAGAAUAAAGAAAAAAUAAAUAGCAAACAGAGAGAGAAAGUGGAAAAAUUUAUAGAUGGUUGUGUGAGAGAGAGAGAGGGAGAGAGAUACACAUUAUGUAACCAGUUAUAUUUAGGUAUAAUAUCAACUUGUCUUUUUGAAGUUCAUAAAAUAUAAAGCUCAUUUUAAAGUUAGGACUAGUCAAGUAAGAUUUGAAAUCUUCACUACAGAUAGAAAUGAUGAUACUUUCUUCCAUAGCAAUAAUAUUAACGUUUCAAUACUAUUCACACCCACAAUCUCUUGUUUUGCAUCUAUUUUCUGCUCUGAAACCCAGCGGAACCAAGCUUUAGAAAGAGUCCCAGAUGAUAUUAUCUCAACUCUUUAACAUCAGAACCUUUAAGUAGAUAAAAAAGAUCAGUUUAGCAUUGUUUUACAAUCAUUUCCCGUACGUAAGCUUAUCAUUUUAGAACUUUUUGUUUGCAGGACAUAAAAGCAGUUAAGUAGCUUAAGAAAAGUUAAAGGAAGAAGGAAAGUCGUUCUUUAAACCAUACCUUACCUGGAGAAUUGAAAUAGAGCCAACACC